AUUGAGCGCUGGCGGCAUGCCUUACACAUGCAAGUCGAACGGCAGCACGGGGGCAACCCUGGUGGCGAGUGGCGAACGGGUGAGUAAUGCAUCGGAACGUGCCCAGUAGUGGGGGAUAACCAGUCGAAAGACUGGCUAAUACCGCAUACGACCCAAGGGUGAAAGCGGGGGACCGUAAGGCCUCGCGCUAUUGGAGCGGCCGAUGUCUGAUUAGCUAGUUGGCGGGGUAAGAGCCCACCAAGGCGACGAUCAGUAGCCGGUCUGAGAGGACGACCAGCCACACUGGGACUGAGACACGGCCCAGACUCCUACGGGAGGCAGCAGUGGGGAAUUUUGGACAAUGGGCGCAAGCCUGAUCCAGCCAUGCCGCGUGCGGGAAGAAGGCCUUCGGGUUGUAAACCGCUUUUGGCAGGAACGAAACGGCGCAGGCCAAUACCUUGCGCUAAUGACGGUACCUGCAGAAUAAGCACCGGCUAACUACGUGCCAGCCGCCGCGGUAAUAC
rnacentral:rRNA from 1 species